GACGAACGCUGGCGGCGUGCUUAACACAUGCAAGUCGAACGGUGAACGAGGGAGCUUGCUCCCUUCGGAUCAGUGACGAGCGGGUGAGUCAUACGUGAGCACCUUGCCCCGAACUCUGGGAUCCGCGUUGGAAACGACGUCUCAUACCGGAUCUGAGGCGGAAGGGCAUCGUUCUCGCGUGGACAGACCUUCGGAUCGGGAUGGGCCCGCGGCCUUUGAGCUUGUUGGUGAGGUAACCGCCACCGCAGGUGACGACCGGUGGCCGGCCUGUGAGGGUGAACAGGCACACUAGGACUAAGACACGGCCCAGACUCCUACGGUGGGCAGCAGUGGGAAAUAUUGCACAGUGGGCGCAAGCGUGAUGCGACAACGCCGCGUGAGGGACGACGGCCUUCUUGUUGUAAACCUCUUUUAGCAAAUAAGAAGCGAAAGUGACGGUACCUGCAGAAAAAGCACCGGCUAACUACGUG
rnacentral:rRNA from 1 species